GGAGAGUUGGGCAGAGGGCAGUUAAAUGUCAAGAGCCCAGUCCAGAUGAGGCAGAAGAUAAAUUUCAGCUGUUUUAGCCUACAACAACCUUAUGCAGAGAAAGAUAAAACCAAACAAGGAAUCACCCAAUGAUGAAGUGUUUUACUCUGAAUUAUACCCAGAGGAAUACCAGGUCCAGUGUGUCUGAUAACAAGAAAGACUGCACAGGACAUCAAUCACAGGAUGAGAGAAACUGUAAGCUAUUUUCUAGUAACACACUGCCAAUCGCAAGACAAAUGUCAGAUGUCCCCAAGUAAGAAGUAACCAUUUUUCAACUUGUG